GUGGGGAGUAUAAUUGGCAAGAAAGGAGAAACAGUAAAAAAGAUGCGAGAAGAAAGUGGAGCACGAAUCAACAUUUCUGAGGGCAACUGUCCAGAGAGGAUUGUCACCAUCACUGGACCUACAGACACCAUCUUCAAGGCUUUUGCCAUGAUUGCCUACAAAUUUG